CAUUCGAAGUGCACACAGGAAAUGCACGCAGGGCUGAUGACAGAAGACGUUUCCAGGGUCGCGGCGAGCCUGGAGCCUAUCCCAGGGGACUCGGGGCACAAGGCAUAUGACACUCUGAAUGGGGUGUAAAUAUGAACUUCUAAGAAAACAACACCACCCCCCAAAAGUGUCCAUGGAGAUACCGGUCGAUGAGAGCUUACCAUCAGGAGCUUACCAUCAGGAGCGGACGCAAUAUGGAGAGAACGGUGAUGUCUUAAUUGCCUGACAUCAUAUACUGGAAGAUAUAACGUGAGCAGAGAUAAAUGGGGUUAAUUCACUGGAGAUACCAGCUGUGAAUGCGGGACUAACCAACAAGCCAUGGACCACCUCCCGAUAUACCCUCUGUUGGAAUUAGCUUGCGACAUAAAAACCUCCCAAAAUAACGAUGCCAGUAAGAACUGCAUACAAUUAUAGAUGGACUUCAUAUAGGUGACUUUACAGCUGGACAUGAGAAGAAGAUAAAGAAAAACAAGAAGUGCCGGUUUCCAAAAAAUUAUCUCCAGCAAACCUGGCCACACUUUCUACAUAACUGGUUGCUUUAUCAUAAUUAGUUGACAUCUUUCAAUUAUUAAAAGCACAUCGAUAUAAUGUUUAAUGUUGUUUUGGUGAUUGAUAGAUAUUCUAUUCUCGACAUUUGAGUCUUCCCAUCUAAUAUCACAACCAGCGUACAAGUAUCUGCAGCUUUUAGUUUUGAAAUCCACUAAAAUUACAAAAGCACAGUCCACUGCAUCUCAAGUGUUAAUCCUGACUACGACAAUACUGCCAGAAGUAGAUAAAGGAACUAAAGCAUCAAUUUAGAACAGUGACUAAGCCAUCCAACCUGAAGAGUAUCUUGCAUGUUUGCACAGGAAUGUGUAAUGGUGCAUCGUGACAAAGAUUUUUGCAAGAUAUUCCACUUGUAUUAUUCAUAACGUGAUUAAAUGUAUGAAUCAUUUGCUUCCCUAAUCCUGAUAGAAUAUAAAGAAUCCUGGCCUGAAUAAGUGCAGUAUAACGGAAGGACAGUAGAGUCAAGACAUAUUCCAGUGGUAUAGAAUCCAUCAGCAAGGAUGCGUUUCUCUCUGACACCUCGCCAGUUGGUCUUUCUCUUUUACAUAAUCACACUUUUGUUCAGCUGCGUGCUUGGAGUGCGCUCCAGUGACGGAAAGCCGGUAACAUGCUGUUCACGCACCAGUGAUGCCCAAGUUCUAGCAGCCCGUAUAGCAAAAUAUGCCUACACUGAGAAAUCAGGCAGAUGUCUUGAGGCAUAUGUGUUUUCGCUGAACAAUGGGAAGCUCCAGUGCAGCAGUGUAAAUGCCAAAAAUAUCGACGCAACACUGGCAAUGUUAAAAAAGAAAGGAGUGCCAUUUUUCGGCAGGCUCAAGAGCUGACAUUUACAAGCAGGAGGACAAUGAAGUUCCAGCUGUUGUUCUGCAUACUGUUCUUAUAUGAAAUCAUUCUUCUGCGUACUGUACGUGCCAGUACUCUUUUAUGUAUUUUUGUAUUCCUGCAUAUUAUAGUAUUUAUUUUCAUUUUAUGUUGAACUCAAACCGGAUAUUCACUCAAUAUUUAUCUAAUAUUUAACUUUACAUGCCUUGUGUAUUUAUGGAAAUUAUUUAUUUUGUUAUUAGGUCAUACAAGAUACUAAAUGUAUUACGUGAAGUAUUUUUUUAGCAUUCAUAUUCAAUAAAUAAUACAACUCUGGAAGAAGAGGUUUCUGCUUUCAUGACUGCGUGUUUUAUGUAAGUGUAUUUUUUUACCCAUUCAUCAAAGACAGAGUGAUAUGGGAUGGACACACACUGCUGAAUGAAAUAAAAA
ensembl:lncRNA